ACUUAAAUAGCUUAUAUAUAGAGUAUGAUAUUGAAGAUAUCAGGGAAGUGGCAUACUUUUAAGUA
rnacentral:tRNA from 1 species